UGCAAGUCGAAGGUGAAGCUAGAGCUUGCUCUAGUGGAAACUGGCGGACGGGUGAGUAACGCGUAGGGAUGUGCCUAUGGGUACGGAAUAACCAUUGGAAACGAUGGCUAAUACCGUAUACGCCCCAAGGGGGAAAGCUCCGGCGCCCAUGGAGCAACCUGCGUCCGAUUAGCUUGUUGGUGAGGUAAUGGCUCACCAAGGCGACGAUCGGUAGCUGGUCUGAGAGGAUGGUCAGCCACACUGGGACUGAGACACGGCCCAGACUCC
rnacentral:rRNA from 2 species